rnacentral:Y_RNA from 1 species
GGCUGGUCCCAGUGCAGUGAUAUUUGGUCACAACUGGUUACAGAUUCCUUUGUUCCUUUUCCACUCCCACUGCUUCACUUGACUAGCCUUAA